CCAGAUGGUCGGGCGGCCGCGGUCUUCGCAAGAAGAUCGAGGAAAGUCCGGGCUCCACGGUGACAAGGCGGCGGGUAACGCCCGCCGGGAGCGAUCCCAGGGAUAGCGCCACAGAAAGCAAACCUCCUCCCUUCGGGGCGGGAAGGGUGAAAGGGUGGGGUAAGAGCCCACCGCGGACCUGGCAACAGGGACGGCAUGGCAAGCCCCGCCUGGAGCAAGACCGAAUAGGGACCCCGCGCCGGCCUCGCGUCGGAUAGGCCGUCACUGGCUGAGAGGGUCCGGGUAGGUCGCGAGAACCGUCCAGCGAUGGACGGUCCAGAGGAAUGGCCGUCUCGCGGUCGUCUUUCCUUCGGGAGGGGCGGACGUCAGACAGAACCCGGCUUACAGACCAUCUGGUCCA
rfam:Caulobacter sp. K31, complete genome.